rnacentral:misc_RNA from 1 species
GAUGAAGAACGCAGCGAAAUGCGACAAGUAAUGUGAAUUGCAGAAUUCCGUGAAUCAUCGAAUCUUUGAACGCACAUUGCGCCCGCCAGCAUUCUGGCGGGCAUGCCUGUUCGAGCGUCAUUUCAACCCUCGAGCCCCCCCGGGGGCCUCGGUGUUGGGGGACGGCACACCAGCCGCCCCCGAAAUGCAGUGGCGACCCCGCCGCAGCCUCCCCUGCGUAGUAGCACACACCUCGCACCGGAGCGCGGAGGCGGUCACGCCGUAAAACGCCCAACUUUCUUAGAGUUGACCUCGGAUCAGGUAGGAAUACCCGCUGAACUUAAGCAUAUCAAUAAGCGGAGGA